GGUGGUGGAGAGAAUUGGGAGGUUAAGCAGGGCCAUAGGAAUAGCAGCACUGUGGAAAGGCUCCAGGAAACUGCCACAGGAGUCUGGGGCAAAGAUGGAGGAGUUACAGCAGUGCUGGGGCAGUACCUACGUCUGGGAAAGAACAUAACCUGUGCGCCAGAUGUGCUAUGUAAAAACUUCUGCCUGCCCUACAGCCCCAGUGUGUGUGCCUCACGGGGUCUAACCCACCUCCACCCCAAAUGAGGAACAUAUGGAACACCAUGAAUGGCAGAAACAAGAUUUCACUUUGAACUACAUUCCUCCUAUCAAAGGGCCCUCUGUCUUGCCUUCUUCUUCUCCGUUCCCCUGGGUAAUCAUGAGGAAAGAACUGAACAUUUGGAAAAGCCUCCUGGGGAUGAAUUCAUUUCCAGUGUAACUCUGCUGAAGUUAAUGGUGUUGCACCAUAGAUUAAAAUGGCACCAUAAUAUUAAAAACCAGAGAAGGCA